rnacentral:tRNA from 1 species
GGGUCUGUAGUGUAGUCUGGAUAGCACAGGGGCCUCCGGAGCCCCUAACCCGGGUUCAACUCCCGGCAGACCCA